GAUGAACGCUGGCGGCGUGCCUAAUACAUGCAAGUCGAGCGAACAGAUAAGGAGCUUGCUCCUUUGACGUUAGCGGCGGACGGGUGAGUAACACGUGGGUAACCUACCUAUAAGACUGGGAUAACUUCGGGAAACCGGAGCUAAUACCGGAUAACAUUUGGAACCGCAUGGUUCUAAAGUGAAAGAUGGUUUUGCUAUCACUUAUAGAUGGACCCGCGCCGUAUUAGCUAGUUGGUAAGGUAACGGCUUACCAAGGCAACGAUACGUAGCCGACCUGAGAGGGUGAUCGGCCACACUGGAACUGAGACACGGUCCAGACUCCUACGGGAGGCAGCAGUAGGGAAUCUUCCGCAAUGGGCGAAAGCCUGACGGAACAACGCCGCGUGAGUGAUGAAGGGUUUCGGCUCGUAAAACUCUGUUAUUAGGGAAGAACAAACGUGUAAGUAACUGUGCACGUCUUGACGGUACCUAAUCAGAAAGCCACGGCUAACUACGUG
rnacentral:rRNA from 1 species